GUCUAUGGCCAUACCACCCUGAACAUGUCUGAUCUCAGAAGCUAAGGAGGGUCAGGCCUGGUUAGUACUUGGAUGGGAGACAGUCACAGGCCCUCACUGUACUGGUUGUCCUGAGCGAGGCACUUGCGCGCAGACA
rnacentral:rRNA from 1 species